AGCCGGCGUAGAAGAUCAUAAUAGCCUCUCGGUAGCCAAUAGCCUUGGCGACAGGGUCCACCAGGAUGGGAAGGUUCCCCCCCACGUUGUUCAUGACGAACAGGAACACGCCCACGGUGGUGGAGCGGACGGAGAGCGGCACGAUCUCGACGAGGAUCGCGAAGACGAUCCCGAACCACAUCUCAGC